UACAGAGGUCUCAAGCGUUGUUCGGAUUCAUUGGGCGUAAAGGGUGUGUAGGUGGCGCCGUAAGUCGGGUGUGAAAUUUCGGAGCUUAACUCCGAAACUGCAUUCGAUACUGGCGUGCUUGAGGACUGGAGAGGAGACUGGAAUUUACGGUGUAGCAGUGAAAUGCGUAGAUAUCGGGAGGAACACCAGUGGCGAAGGCGGUUGCCUGGAGCUUUGCUGACGCUGAGGCGCGAAAGCGUGGGGAGCGAUCCGG
rnacentral:rRNA from 1 species